UGGAGUGGGGAGGAACAAUGGGCAAAUAACAUGCUUGCCAUUCCAAACACCAUGCCAGAACAGGGAUGAGUACUUGUUUUGGGAUGCAUUUCAUCCAAGUGAGGCUGCCAAUGUGAUCAUUGGGAGGAGAUCCUACAGCGCUCAAUCUCCUACCGAUGCUUACCCCAUUGAUAUCCGCCGUCUUGCUCAGCUCUGAAACUGAAAGUCGACGAGGUUUUUUAUGGGAAUUUAUAGAUAAUUAAUUGAAUCGUUGUAGAAUUCUUUCUAUAUUUGUGUCGUUUUGAAUUGUGUAAC
rnacentral:lncRNA from 1 species